AGAUCAUUUUCAUGGUUCUUUCUUACAAACAGUAGCGUGCUUAAGACUUGGCCCACCUAGCUUGCUGCAAUGUUGUGGCUGUACAGACCUAUGUAUUUUUCUUCCUCUUCAUUAAGGCACAAGCCGUAAAUUAAGGAAAUUUGUUGAGUGCAUUAAAAGGACAAACAUCUAAUGUAAUGGUGGCCCAAGAGUUUUGCACGGAACUGUACAUGGCUUUUCUGCGGUUGCAGGCUCCUUGCCAGUUUCCAAUGGCCUUAUAUCAAGGUCCUACCUACUAAGUUCAGUAACUCAAUUCUUAUGGUGUUCACAGAUCACCCUGGAGGCUGUUGGACAACUGGGUCUCUCAGAGCUGUAGCUUUGCUGCGGGCAAAGGCUUCUGUAGCCAUAUAACCGCUCUGCUGUUCCAGACAGCGCAUUAUGUGCAGCUGGGCCUUGAUGUGGUUCCACCUUCCCUGGCCUGUACCAGUCAACCACAGAUGUGGCAUCGACCUCGAACCCACGCGUGCUGUUGUGUCCUCUGUUCAAAUCAUACACUUCAGUAUUUGUCUAGAGUAUAUGAGCAUUUCCUGUAUUGUUGUUCGCCUCAGGGAAUCCAUCCAGAGGCUGUGAGUGACCGGGUGGUGAAGAAACCCAAGUCGGUGGGGAAGACUGGAGUCAAGUCCACACUCUACAGAGCGUAUGCUGAGGGAAUAUCCAGCUUGGAGUUGGUACCAUCUCAGCUGUGCUGACCUGGAAGAUGUCAGCAAUGACUUGUUCUUUAAGGCCAGUUGCUACUCUACAACAGUAGAUGAAAAACUCAUCAAUGGCUGGAAUCUUCCUUGAAGGGCUUGGUGUUGGAAUCGCCUCUUGUCCAAUCCUCUGUGCUUUGCUCCAAUAAAGAAUAUAUUGUGUUGAGGGGCAAAACAGACUCCCAAAACACUUGAAACACUUCUUGAGAUG